GUGAAUGAGAUAAUACAAGCUGCUAGACAGGUACUUUUGAAUUUACUAAUCUUCGAAUAAAAAUACAAGUUUCUUCAUUGGUUUAAGAGAACAUGGAAUCUAUAUACAAUGCUAGUUUUGUGUUUGAGUUACACAAUUUUUUGAAUUUAGCACGUGGUGGUUCGCACCAUUUAGCAAUACUCUUGAUUUAAUACUAAUCUUUAUCUGCAAUUUUCGAUUUUCUAUGAUAUAGGUUACUGCUGCUUCUAGUGUUCCUAACCCUUUGAAUUCCCCUAGUCCAACCAAUAAUGAAGAUAAUGAAAAUGGUAUUCAAUUAAAUAUCACUGAAGUUGUUAAUAUUUUCUUUGUUUUUUAGGAGUGAUAUUCUCAACGAUGAAUUGUGUUAUUAUUCAUCUUUUCUUUUUAUUUCUUGUAGGUGAAGAUGAGGAGGCUAAUAUGGAGACUUGAAGAUGGAAAUUUGAAAUUGGAAACUAGGCUAGACAUUGUUUUGGUUCUUUUCUUUAUUGACAUAGUUAUAAGGCUUUGUAUGCCUAAUAUGGUUCUGUUUUGUUUUGGCUAAUGCUCUAAAGUACUAUAGGAUUGACAUGAUUUAGCUUUUGUUAAUUUCUAUGUUUG
rnacentral:lncRNA from 1 species